AGUGGCUUACGUGUUUGGCUGCUAACCAAAGGUUCGGUAGUUAGAAUCUACCAGUCACUC
rfam:Loxodonta africana unplaced genomic scaffold scaffold_30, whole genome shotgun sequence.